AGAGGAGGUGCGAUGGCCGUCGUCAGUUCGUACUGUGAAGCAUCCUGUUAAGUCAGGCAACGAGCGAGACCCACGCCAACAGUUGCCAGCAUGUCCUCCGGGAUGAUGGGGACACUGUUGGGACCGCCUCUGCUAAAGAGGAGGAAGGAAUGGGCAACGGUAGGUCAGCAUGCCCCGAAUUAUCCGGGCUACACGCGGGCUACAAUGGUCAGGACAAUGGGUAUCGACACCGAGAGGUGGAGGCAAUCUCCUAAACCUGUCCUUAGUUCGGAUUGUGGGCUGCAACUCGCCCACAUGAAGUUGGAAUCCGUAGUAAUCGCGUUUCAAAAUAGCGCGGUGAAUAUGUCCCUGCUCCUU
rnacentral:rRNA from 1 species